rfam:Triticum aestivum genome assembly, contig: Triticum_aestivum_CS42_TGACv1_scaffold_545075_6DS
UUGCUACUCCCUCCGUCCCAAAAUUCUUGUCUUAGAUUUGUCUAGAUGCGGAUGUAUUUAAUACUAAAACGUGGCUUGAUACAUCCGUAUUUACAAAUCUAAGACAAGAAUUUUAGGACGUAGGGAGUAUUAA